GGUGAGAUGGCCGAGCGGUCUAAGGCGCCAGACUAAGGUUGACGCUUAUUAUCUGGUCUCUUCGGGGGCGGGAGUUCGAAUCUCCCUCUCAUCA